AUCACUUCAUUCGCUGGUCCUAUCUCUAGAACAUGCUGAACUCACCCCUGCUUCAGGGCCUUUGAACUUGCUCUUUUUUGUGCCUGGAAUGAUCUUCUCUCAAGUUUGCACAUGACUCUCUGCUUCUCGUUAUUUGGUUCUCUUACUAAAAUAUCCUCAGAGGGGCCUUUCCUGACUACCCUAACAAAGCCUUUUCCAGGGUGCACUACUACACCAUCCUUAUCUUAAAGGAAAGAGAAAACGCAAGGUAAUCCACAAAUCACUGAGAUAAUAAGGUGAUUGAACAGAGUUGCUGGAUAGAAGAUUCAAGAAUUCCACAGCAGAAGAAGCUAAUAUCACUGAUUUGGAGGAAGAAUGAUAGAGAAAACACUUAUGUUGUGGACUCACUAAUUUUGACAGCCUUUUAAAAGCAAGCAGAAGGCAUUAUUGCUGAGACAGCUUCAAGGAGCUCUUUAUCAUUUAAAGAAAGCAUGCAAGAACUAAAAGCGGUUGGGCUAAGACUUGGGAGAACCAAGGAAUUAUGAGAAUAAAAAAGAAAAACAGCUAAAAAGUCUCUCCUAUUUCAUCUGAGAAGCUCAGAAUGAAACACCUUCUCUUAGAUAAUGGGAGAACGCAGUUUGAUGCAGACAGAAAAUGGUACUAAGUGCUCAUUACUUUUAACUGCGCAAUUUAAAUGCUCAAGUGCAUCAAUGGAAGGAAGAUUUAAAUAGCAAGCUUCAUUGCUAUUUGCUCCUAAAAGAAAACGAUCCCUACAGAUGACCACAUUUCGUUAAAGUCAACAUGGGGAUGAAUAGCAAUUUUGCAGCUUGAGAAGAGGGGCAUCUGGGAAAACUGAAAUGUGAACAAAACAACAGUUGGGCUUUCUUUUAUUGUUUAUUGGUGCUUUGGGGAUUCCCUGCAGCUUUGUCUUUCAUGGUUGCUUAAUAAAUAAAAAUACAGUGCAUAGCCGACACGUUUGGACGGUGAUUCACAGAAUGGCACUAACUCACCUAAGGGACCCUGCCUGGCUUAGUCCAGGGAGCACAGGUUCCAAACAUCUGGAACCACGCUGGCAAUUUUCCCAAAGGCCAAGGGCUUUAGUUAUUUCGCUAAUCAUUUACA